ensembl:lncRNA
UUUUGAGCCACUGCCGAGUGUGUCACUCACUGCGACUGGAGCCGCCAUCACUGAGGUAUACUGUAUUAACAACUGGAGACUGCAUUCAAGAUGCUAGUACACGAGUGCUUGGCAGCAUGCAGGCCUGCUGAGGGAUGGCCAGUCGGUGAAAAGCCCAGCAGCUGUUGGAUGCGUAGCUGCCUGUCCAAAAAUCUGCCAGGGCAGGACCUGUCUGUCCAAUAGUCAGCCAGGACCUACCCCAGACCUUGUGUAGCCUAUGCAUCUUGCUUAUUUUCAAACCCUGACCUGAGCCCCAAAUACAUUGAGUUUACAUAGAUGUAUUUUUGGCCCAUGGUUUACAUAUAUAAUGAGAAUACAAAACAUUAAGGACACUUGCUCUUUCCAUGACAUAGACUGACCAGGUGAAUCCAGGUGAAAGCUAUGAUCCCUUAUUGAUGUCACCUAUUAAAUCCACUGUAAUCAGUGUAGAUGAAGGAGAGGAGGCAGGCUACAGAAGGAUGUUUAAGUCUUGAGACAAUUGAGACAUGGAUUGUGUACAGUAUGUGUUCCAUUCAGAAGGUGAAUGGGCAAGACAAAAUAUAGCCUUUGAAUGGGGUAUAGUAUAGGUGUCAGGCGCACUGUUUUGAGUGUGUCAUGAACUGCAACGCUGCUGGGUUUUCAAGCUCAACAGUUUCCUAUGUGUGACAAGAAUGGACCAGCACCAGCCAACUUGACACAACUGGGGGAAGCAUUGGAGUCAACAUAGGACAGCAUACCUGUGGAAUGCUUUGGAAAUCUUGUAGAGUCCAUGCUCCGAUGAAUUGAGGCUGUUCUGAGGGGACAAGGGGGUGCAACUCAAUAUUAGGAAGGCAUUCCUAAUGUUUUGUACACUCAGUGAUGUUUUUGUCAGCUAUUCCUUAUUUAUUUUACUGAUUUGAUUGUUCUGAGUCUCUUUGAAUUAGACGAUUGACAUUAAGGCAGAACAGUUCAAAA